rnacentral:rRNA from 1 species
GCUAAUACCGCAUAUUGCCGAGAGGUGAAAGAUUUAUCGCUACAAGAUGAGCCCAUGCAAGAUUAGCUAGUUGGUGAGGUAAAUGCUUACCAAGGUUACGAUCUUUAGCUGGUCUGAAAGGAUGAUCAGCCACACUGGAACUGAGACACGGUCCAGACUCCUACGGGAGGCAGCAGUGGGGAAUAUUGGACAAUGGGCGAAAGCCUGAUCCAGCGACGCCGCGUGAGUGAAGAAGGCCUUCGGGUUGUAAAGCUCUUUCGGUAGGGAAGAUAAUGACGGUACCUACAAAAGAAGCUCCGGCUAACUUCGUGCCAGCAGCCGCGGUAAUACGAAGGGAGCUAGCGUUACUCGGAAUUAUUGGGCGUAAAGCGUACGUAGGCGGCUUAGUAAGUUGGGAGUGAAAUCCUUGGGCUUAACCUAAGAAUUGCUUUCAAAACUACUAAGCUAGAGUAUCAGAGAGGAUAGCGG